ACUUACACACGGCCUAAUCUCGGUCCCUGCGCGGGACCGAGAACGGAGGAACCAAUCAAUUGGGGUUAAUCUUGCGCUUUGGCGCGAGAGGGAUGAGGAACUGACUUCUCUGCCAUCCUACCCGUCAGCUAACUUCGUCGGCUUAUGCAGGGAAGGUCA
rnacentral:sRNA from 1 species